rnacentral:rRNA from 1 species
GAUGAACGCUAGCUACAGGCUUAACACAUGCAAGUCGAGGGACCGGCGCACGGGUGAGUAACACGUAUCCAACCUGCCCUUUACUCGGGGAUAGCCUUUCGAAAGAAAGAUUAAUACCCGAUAUAAAGGAUGGGGAUGCGUUCCAUUAGGUUGUUGGUAAGGUAACGGCUCACCAAGCCUUCGAUGGAUAGGGGUUCGGAGAGGAAGGUCCCCCGCAUUGGAACUAAGACACAGUCCCAAAUGGUACGGGGGGCAGCGGAGAGUAGUAUUGGUCAAUGGGCGCUAACCUGAACCUGCCAAGUAGCGUGAAGAGUGAAGGCUUAUGGAUCGUAAACUUCUUUUAUAUAAGAAUAUGUAUUAGAUGAAUAAGGAUCGGCUAACUCCGUGCCAGCAGCCGCGGUAAUAC